UUCCUCUCCCCCCGUUCCCUUAACCAACCCCGCCACCGCCGACGACCUCCUCUCCCCAAACCCAAACCCCAAGCACCAACGCCGGCGCCCUCCACCCCACCAGCAGCCGCUGCCAUGCACAGCACCGUUAGCUCUCUCGGCACCCGAAACCCUAGCUCCGGCCGGGCGUGCCGCGGCAUGGAAGAGCGCCGCGGAUCCGCCUCCUCGCCGUGGCCCCAACCUCCCCUUCUUCGGGCGCGGCGCAGGGGAGGGAGGGCUCCCUCCCUCUUGCCGACCGUCGAUGCGGUUCUUCUUCACGCAUUCAGGCAGUGAAGAGACCUACGCCAUGGAGGAUUCGAUUUGGCAGACCCUCCCUCUUGCGGACCGUCGAUACGCUGCAGAUGUGCGUGGAGAAGAAGGCCCUAGCAUUGGGGGAUGACCGGCCAUGCCAAGCUCCUCUUCAUUGGAGUUGGAGUUGGAUUUGGUCACCACCAAUUUGCUCCUAGCAUGCCCUCCUCUCUUUUGGUGAUUACUUGCUGCCUGACAUUAUAGUAUUACUGUACUUACACAUCAACUAAUCAGCAGCAUUUUUUGGUUCUACUAUAAUGCACAUCUAGCAUUCUUUUGGUUCAGCUAGAAUACACAUCUAACCACUUUUGAUUAAUUCUGGAGCAUUCCAUUUGGAUGUCCAGUCUCUCCCUCUCCUGUAAUGAUGUACGUGGUGUGUGUGUCUGCCUAGUGUAUAUACAACUGCUGUUCAUGGGCCUCAAUUCAAUUGCUCUGUUGUUGUGCCCAGCAUGCAACUGCUGUUCAUGGGCCUCAAUUCAAUUGCUUCCUUCUCCGUAAAUGAUGUGCACAGAUUGCUACCUAUGUACGUGUUGGUGGUCAUGGCCUCGCUGAUUAAUACGAGCUUUUGCGUUUAUUGUUUAGAAACAAUAUAUCCUGGCAUUGUUACUGCACUAGCGUUUUUCUCAAGAUUCAAGUUCAGUGCCUAUUUCCGCUUUUAGUUGAUGGAUUCCACAAAUGCAAUCUCUCAUCGUUGCUAUUAUAUAUCAUAUAACAGCAGCACGAAUGAUUCACACGACUCAAAGCUCUAUUGUGAUGGACUGGUGCUUCUCCUUUCUCCCCCCCAUGGAUCCCUUUCCCUCCCCUCCCAUGAGAUUUUCUUUUUCCUAUUUCAGGUCAAGGCUAUUAAUUUUGCUGCUAUUUCUCUUGCCUUGUUUUGUGUAGCAGCAACAGCAGCAUGGAUUCGGUACAGCAGAGGACAAGAAGGUCUUCAUGCCAGGCUCUAGGGCUGGGCGAGAGAACUUCUACUCUCGGUCGUGGUUUUAGUUUCCAUUCUAGCUCUCAGGUCAAGGCUGCAUCACGUAAGAACUGGUUCUGGUUGCUUCAUGCUAUAAAAAUGGGGCAGGGGGGCGACCCCCUUUCAUUCAAAAGAAGAGAAGGGCUUCAUUUCAUUCUCUUCCGUUGUUGGUUGUGCAACAGAGGCGGCUACGAAAUCGCCAUGGUGCAUGAGCUAAUCCAGUAUCUCACCAGGGUGCCCUCUCUCUCUCUCUCUCUCUCUAGGAGAAAGAGUUUUGGUCUUUUUGCUCCUACUCUAGCUAGCUGCAUAUAUACACAGUGUCGUUGUACCACGUGUGCACGCCCAUCGUAAUUACCUGAUGCAUCUAUGAUUGAUCUGCAUAGUGGCAAAUGAGCACCACUACUGUUACUAUUAGUAAGCACCUCUUUUGGUGACCGGCCAUGUUUAGUUUUCUCUAUGCAAACUACUGCACAUGUGUUGGCAUCUAUUAGUUUUAAUUUCCUGACUGUUCUGAAACCACUCCAAAAUGGAACAAGGAUCCAUCUCAACCUUGUUUCAGAGUACUUGUGUGAUUUAAAUGAUACUUGUUGUUUUAGAUAUCUCCUACUUGCUCGGGUGAAAUACUUGUUGUUUUAGAUAAGCAUGGUGCUCCUCUGUUUUGAUAUGUAGCGCUCUAGUAAUUUAAAUGAUUCAAAUUCCUAAAGCAACAACGCAUUACCUUCGUUUGGAAAUAAGGGGCAUGAUUUUAGUUGAAAUUGGAACUAAAACCACGACAAUUAUUUCCGAACGGACGGAGUACUUGUUUUCUACACAACAACUAUGCAUUCAACGAUCUGACCUAUAUUAUAUACAUGUUGAGGUAGAAAAGUGGGUAUAUAUACUUGCUUCUAUUCUGCUCUGGGCAACUAAAUUAACUGGGGAACAUGAAAGGCACACAUCAACUGAUGAUACCAGAAUAAUUGAUUGGCUGCUACACAGGCCAGAUUCUUGCUCUGCUGCUAGUUAAACACUUAAACUACAGCAGGUCAGGGCUAGCCAUGAGUGUGUGCGUGCAUGUUUUUGCCCCUAAAGGAUUUUAACCUCGGAUGAAAUUCCAUGGUUCGAUGGUCCCUGUGUAGUUUCUGAUGCAGAUCGUACAUCCAUCAAAACACACAAUUCAAACUGAACUUUGAUUUCUUUUGCUUGGUUCCACUAAGAUGCGUUAUUGCAAGCUAUUCAUUAUUUUUCAGCUUUGAGCUUGAGAAGAGUACUUAUUCACUAUAUUGUAGCUAUAACAGUUUUCAGCGUUCCAUCUUUCUAGUCUCCUAUGUUGAACAGAGACAUACAAUUUGCAGUGUUAAAUCAAUAUAUGAUCUCUUUUUCUAUGUCCCCACGAAUACCCAAUACAAGUAAAGCAAUUUGUUCCGAUCAAUCAACAGUGAGUGAAUCGGGAUGUUGAUUAAUGUGGGGGAUUCACUUGCUGCUCAAUGUGAACUUGCGUAAUUAGUGAUGUCACUAUGAGUUCCUCGCUCUGACCGAUCUGUUACGUAUUUCAGUCAUUGUUGGUAGCUAGUCUCAGUUAUGAUGUUCCUUUGUUUUGUAGAAGAUGGACCAAUCACGGAUAGAGUAACAAGUAGCUGCGGGUUGCCCAAUAUGCCUCCAAACCGUACGCUCGUGUAGCAUUGGUAGAAGCAAAUUGACAAAUUGGCUAGCAAAAUCGCAGCCUGGAGCUAGCUUGGUGGUAAAUCUGAAGCCCGUCCCCACACGGCGUCGCUCAAACUUGAAUUUUUUUUUCAGUUCUGAGCUAUGAGAAGAUUACUUACUUCCAAUUUUUGAGCUAUAACAGUUUUCAGUCAGUGUUGCAAGUUUCUACUCUGCUAUACUGAAUAUAAUAUAGACACACAUUUUUCAGUGCUCCAUCAGUUCUGUGAUUUUCUAUUUUUAUGUGCCGACCACUACCUAAUACAAGUAAAUUGAUUUGUUCUGAUCAUUAUACAGUGAAUCAAGAUGGUGAUCAAUGUCGAGGAUUUACUUCUUGCUCAACUAUUUACAAGUGAAACUUGGCUAACCAGUGGUGGAACUAUCAACAUCCCGAGGACUAAGAAAGUAACCGUGGUGGUUCGCCCAAUAUGAAAUUUUGUAUCUCUGAAAGUAGAGAUUUUUUACAGUACAUCAUACUACCGAAUUUAAGGGGUAGUAUUAACCAGAUCCAACGGUUAAUAUGGUUCAACGCUGAAUUUAGAUUGAGGACAGCUUGGUGAUUUCAUAUUAGGAUGCCCCACGACCUCGCCUCCUAUUUCACGGUCGUCGCUAGCCCCCACUGCGUCUCCUCGGCUCUCCUCCCGCCCUGCCGCCAAGCUCGUGUUCAUCGAGUUCGAUGUUCAGGUCUACACACAUGCAGCCGUUGCAUUCACUCUCGAUUCAGCAGGAGGAGAUUAGUAUUCCCGGACGGACGGGCCUCUGUAGCCAGGUGGGUGAGAACGGCGAGCUGGUGCACUGCUUACACGUCGGCGCUGGCGCUUGACUGGUGGGAGUCGCGGCUCGACGUCAUCUUCGUCCACCCGCCUUGCUCGUGCGACGCGGCGCCACCCGACGGCAUGGCAGAAAUGUGACGGAAAACAUCGAGUGCCCAUCUUCGAUCCUGCCCUCGCGGAGCUCUGCUCGCCGCCACCGGCCAGCUUGCAAUCACAUUGUGAGUUGAUGCAAUAAAGAAA